AGGUGCAACGCGAAGAACCUUACCUGGUCUUGACAUCCCGGAGACCCUUAGGAAACUAGGGGUGCUUCCAUCUGGAAGAAAUCUGGAGGACAGGUGCUGCAUGGCUGUCGUCAGCUCGUGUCGUGAGAUGUUGGGUUAAGUCCCGCAACGAGCGCAACCCUUGCCUUUAGUUGCCAGCAGUUCGGCUGGGCACUCUAAAGGGACUGCCGGUGUUAAACCGGAGGAAGGUGGGGAUGACGUCAAGUCCUCAUGGCCUUUAUGACCAGGGCUACACACGUACUACAAUGGCCGAUACAAAGGGCAGCGACACUGCGAGGUGAAGCCAAUCCCGUAAAAUCGGUCUCAGUCCGGAUUGGAGUCUGCAACUCGACUCCAUGAAGUUGGAAUCGCUAGUAAUCGUGGAUCAGCAUGCCACGGUGAAUACGUUCCCGGGCCUU
rnacentral:rRNA from 1 species